AAAGUCCCAAAUGGUAUCUUCUAUGAUUUAUUUCCCCCCUCAUUUUUCUUUAAUUGGCAGCGGAUUCGAGCUUGCACGAACGCUUAGCUGAUCGAUCGGCUUGCCCCAAUCGAGAUACAGUGAUUGCUGCAAAGGCAACGGAGAGGGUAUUAAGAAGGAUGGUAUGAUGGUGGAAGCAUUGCCUUUGCAAUUAUUAUUGUUAUUGUAGUAACAGGUAUCCAGUAAAUUUAGUGGUAUUCUUCAUCGACAAGAAACCAUCAGAAAUGUCUGACUGUUUUGGUGGCUCCCAGCAAUGGCUGCCACCAAGGAAAAAGAUGGAAAGUUUAGAGAAAGCAAGUUACUGAAGAUGCGGCUGAUUGGGAAUGACCUAUUCGAUCAAAAAUAUUUCUUUCAGCUGUACGUGUACAUAAUUUGUAGCUCGGUGUACAAUAGAGUUAAA